GAUGAACGCUGGCGGCGUGCCUAAUACAUGCAAGUCGAGCGAACAGACGAGGAGCUUGCUCCUCUGACGUUAGCGGCGGACGGGUGAGUAACACGUGGAUAACCUACCUAUAAGACUGGGAUAACUUCGGGAAACCGGAGCUAAUACCGGAUAAUAUAUUGAACCGCAUGGUUCAAUAGUGAAAGACGGUUUUGCUGUCACUUAUAGAUGGAUCCGCGCCGCAUUAGCUAGUUGGUAAGGUAACGGCUUACCAAGGCAACGAUGCGUAGCCGACCUGAGAGGGUGAUCAGCCACACUGGAACUGAGACACGGUCCAGACUCCUACGGGAGGCAGCAGUAGGGAAUAUUCGGCAAUGGGCGAAAGCUUGACGGAGCAACGCCGCGUGAGUGAUGAAGGUCUUCGGAUCGUAAAACUCUGUUAUUAGGGAAGAACAAAUGUGUAAGUAACUAUGCACGUCUUGACGGUACCUAAUCAGAAAGCCACGGCUAACUACGUG
rnacentral:rRNA from 1 species